rnacentral:pre_miRNA from 14 species
CUCUAGUAAAUGUAGGGUGUCAUGAAACCCCUGGGGUAGAACAGUCCUGAAAGACCCCCGAAGGGAGCCCCCCACUCAAGUCUCGGGAAAGACGCGCACCCAGUAGGACACAGACACCG